UAUCAAAAUAAAUCACACACAAUUUCUAUCUAAUAUUAUUAUUUCCAAUCUGUCAAAUAUGUUUCAAAAAUUCUUAAUUACUCAUACGAUGCUCUACAAAAAAAAUAAGGAAUAAUGCACUAUGCAAACGCUUAUGGAGAAUUUUUGUGGGAGCAACUCCAGAAAGUUAGUCAUUAAAAUGGUAUAAUUAAGUUAGAUGACCAACA
rnacentral:lncRNA from 1 species